UCUAGUGUCCUAGGUGUAGAGGAACCACACAAACCCAUCUCGAACUUGGUGGUUAAACUCUAUUGUGGUGACGAUACUAUAGGGGAAGCCUUAUGGGAAAAUAGCUAAGUGGAAGGA
rnacentral:rRNA from 1 species